AGCGAACGCUGGCGGCAGGCCUAACACAUGCAAGUCGAACGAACCUUUCGGGGUUAGUGGCGGACGGGUGAGUAACACGUGGGAACGUGCCUUUAGGUUCGGAAUAACUCAGGGACACUUGUGCUAAUACCGAAUGUGCCCUUAGGGGGAAAGAUUAAUCGCCUUUAGAGCGGCCCGCGUCUGAUUAGCUAGUUGGUUGAGGUAAUGGCUCACCAAGGCGACGAUCAGUAGCUGGUCUGAGAGGAUGAUCAGCCACAUUGGGACUGAGACACGGCCCAAACUCCUACGGGAGGCAGCAGUGGGGAAUCUUGCGCAAUGGGCGAAAGCCUGACGCAGCCAUGCCGCGUGAAUGAUGAAGGUCUUAGGAUUGUAAAAUUCUUUCACCGGGGACGAUAAUGACGGUACCCGGAGAAGAAGCCCCGGCUAACUUCGUG
rnacentral:rRNA from 1 species